AUGCUCAAGAAGACUGCUCAAAGGAGGACAGUUUGUAGGAUAGUUUGUGUGACAAUGCGAGCACUACCUGUUUGUAUAAAUGCUGAAGGAGAAAACUGUUCGGAGAAGGACAUGUGUGAGAGAGAGAGAGGGAAGGAGAAACAGGGGCCGGGAGUAAGAGCUCAAGAGCAAGGAGAACCACAUGUUGUCCCUUUGUCAUCGACACCAUCCUGCCGUUGCAGGCUUGUCCCGGUGGCCUUUCGCUUGAUGCAGAUCCAGAAGGGGAGCCUUGGCGCAGUGGUAAAGUUGCUGCCUUGUGACCAUGAGGUCAUGGGUUCAAGUCCUGGAAACAGCCUCUUACAGAAAUGUAGGGAAAGGCUGCGUACUAUAGACCCAAAGUGGUCGGACCCUUCCCUGGACCCUGCGCAAGCGGGAGCUACAUGCACCAGGUUGCCCUUUUUUUAUAUAGAUGCAGAUCCGAGUUGCCAUAAUGGAAUAUGGAUGGACAACACAAAAUAG
rnacentral:rRNA from 1 species